GGUCAAGCGAACUAAGCGUAUACGGUGGAUGCCUUGGCAGUCAGAGGCGAUGAAGGACGUGGCAGCCUGCGAAAAGUGUCGGGGAGCUGGCAACAAGCUUUGAUCCGGCAAUGUCCGAAUGGGGAAACCCACUCCGCAAGGAGUACUGCAUGGUGAAUACAUAGCCAUGCAGGGCGAACCCGGGGAACUGAAAUAUCUAAGUACCCGGAGGAAAAGAAAUCAACCGAGAUUCCCUCAGUAGCGACGAGCGAACGGGGAGCAGCCCAAAAGCGCACAGUGUUUUAGUCGAAAGGUCUGGAAAGGCCUGCCGUAGACGGUGAUAGCCCGGUAGGCGAAAGGGCACCGUGCGUGAAAUUGAGUAAGGCGGGGCACGAGAAACCCUGUCUGAACAUGGGGGGACCAUCCUCCAAGGCUAAAUACUCCUGACUGACCGAUAGCGAACUAGUACCGUGAGGGAAAGGCGAAAAGAACCCCGGAGAGGGGAGUGAAAUAGACCCUGAAACCGUAUACGUACAAGCAGUGGAAGCCCGCAAGGGUGACUGCGUACCUUUUGUAUAAUGGGUCAGCGACUUACUGUCAGUGGCGAGCUUAACCGUAUAGGGGAGGCGAAGGGAAACCGAGUCUGAAUAGGGCGCAUAGUCUCUGGCAGUAGACCCGAAACCGAGUGAUCUAUCCUUGGCCAGGUUGAAGGUGCGGUAACACGCACUGGAGGACCGAACCCACAUCUGUUGCAAUAGAUGGGGAUGAGCUGAGGAUAGGAGUGAAAGGCUAAACAAACUCGGAGAUAGCUGGUUCUCCUCGAAAGCUAUUUAGGUAGCGCCUCGGACGAAUCUUCCUGGGGGUAGAGCACUGUUAUGGCUAGCGGGUCAUCGCGACUUAGCAAACCAUGGCAAACUCCGAAUACCAGGACAGACUAUCCGGGAGACACACGGCGGGUGCUAACGUCCGUCGUGAAAAGGGAAACAACCCAGACCCGCAGCUAAGGUCCCAAAGUUAUAGCUAAGUGGAAAACGAUGUGGAAAGGCAUAGACAGCCAGGAGGUUGGCUUAGAAGCAGCCACCCUUUAAAGAAAGCGUAAUAGCUCACUGGUCGAGUCGGUCUGCGCGGAAGAUUUAACGGGGCUAAGCUAUACACCGAAGCUCGGGGUGCAUCGCAAGAUGCGCGGUAGAGGAGCGUUCCGUAAGCCUGUGAAGGUGAGUUGAGAAGCUUGCUGGAGGUAUCGGAAGUGCGAAUGCUGACAUGAGUAACGAUAAUGCGGGUGAAAAGCCCGCACGCCGAAAGCCCAAGGUUUCCUCGCGCAACGUUCAUCGGCGCAGGGUGAGUCGGCCCCUAAGGCGAGGCAGAAAUGCGUAGUCGAUGGGAAGCUGGUUAAUAUUCCAGCACUUUUCUUAAGUGCGAUGUGGGGACGGAGAAAGUUAGGUCUACCGGGCGUUGGUUGUCCCGGGGAAAGGCGGUAGGCAUGGAUCUUAGGCAAAUCCGGGAUCCUUUAUGCCGAGCACCGAGACGAGUCCUAUUGGACGAAGUGACUGAUACUACGCUUCCAGGAAAAGCCACUAAGCUUCAGCUUAAGAAAAACCGUACCGUAAACCGACACUGGUAGGCAGGGUGAGAAUCCCAAGGCGCUUGAGAGAACUCGGGUGAAGGAACUAGGCAAAAUGGCACCGUAACUUCGGGAGAAGGUGCGCCCUCCGGUGUGGUCACGUGCGUGACUGAGCACUAGAGGGUCGCAGUAACCUGGCCGCUGCGACUGUUUAUCAAAAACACAGCACUCUGCAAACACGAAAGUGGACGUAUAGGGUGUGACGCCUGCCCGGUGCUGGAAGGUUAAUUGAUGG
rnacentral:rRNA from 1 species